GCCAAGGAGGAAGGAGCUCUCGGUUAUGGAAGAGAGGAGAAGCAGGAGGCAGGAGCAAUGUCUGACACUGCUGCGGGAUGAAGAAACCUCGGUGUCAUCAGAGGAAUAAUCAAAGGCAACAUCACAGGCUUGAAGCUGGAUCAGGAUGCACAAAUUGUAUGAUGGAAGAGAAGAAAAGCCAGAUGUAGGGCAAAAAGGCCAUGUAGGCAAUGACAGCUGGACAGUUCAGUAUUCAGCCACCAAGAUAAGGAGUUCUGGGAAUGGCUGCAAGCCACAGGUGUUGAUUUACAUACAAGAAAAUGAGGUACAGUUGAUUCCUGGUGUGGUGUUUGUAGUUUGUUUAUUUAUUUGAGUGGUUUUGGAAUUAAAGAAUGGCUACAUGGUGCUGACUCUUCAGAUGAUGGGGAACACUUUUCCAUGCUCCAGAAACCUCAGCAGUAAAGAAAGCCAUUCAAGGUGUUCCCAUUUGUAGAACAGAUAAAGCAGCUCAAUGGAGCCUCAUGGCACAAUCAAGCAGAUAACUGAACUUCUCAUGCCUACUUCUUUUAAGGAGUGUGAAUACAAGUUUUAUUCAAAUAAAAGUCUUGGUGUAACCUUUUCAGAUUAAGUAAAGUCAUUGGGGCAGAAAUUCAGCUGAAGCUUUGACUUCCAUGGGACACAAUGAAGUUAUAACAGUUGAGACUCUGGAGCAGGAGGUGGGACAUGGUACAAGGACAGCAGUUUCUGUAUCUUUAAUGUAACAUCUUGUGUGCUUCAGAAACAAGGUGCCUUGAAGAAUAGUUUCUUCCUAACUCCCCCAAAUUUUGCUGAGUAUCAUUGUUUUUGUUAAUUAGUUUUUAUAUAUAGCUCUGUGAAAAACUGAUUUUUCCAUCCACUGGCAAUUCCAAAAAGAAAAAAGCAACAACAACAAAAUCAAGAUAUUUCAUUUCUGGUUGAUCUGAAAUGAUUUUUCCCCAAACUUUUCAGCAAAUCAAAAGGAAAUAUUGAAAU